rnacentral:tRNA from 1 species
AGAGGGUUAGGCUAAUUGGCAAGCCACCAGUCUUGAAAACUGGCAAACCGUCAGAAGGUAUGUGGGUUCGAAUCCCCCACCCUCUGCCA